AUCUCCUUCCGGAGCCACCGUCGCCGACUGCCUCCCGUCUUCGGUACUCCGUCGGGCGCCGCGCCCGUCCGCAUCCAGUCGAGCUGCCCUAGCCAUCUACUUUCCUGGUGAGAUGAAUUCGCUGUAUUUGUUGGUUGAUUUGGGACUUUGAGUCUCAUCUUUAGCAAGUCUGACUUGUUGGAAAAUAUCCUCCGAGCCCAGCAGUCUCCUUCUUUGCUGUAAAUACUAAAAUUAACAAGUAAGAAAAGAAGUAACAAAGGGUUUGGACGUACAUUGUGGUCACUUUCUGCAACCUCAUUCAUGACACCUUUAAACCAUUCAAAGGAACCUUGUUCCCGGGUCACCCAAUAGAAGUAAGCCCUUCCUGGACCAUCUCCAUUGUUGGUUUCAUUCUGUGAAGUUUUACUUUCCAUUUCCUGCAUUAAUGUAGAGGUUAUGAAUGCUGGUUCAUGUAAAAGAAGUUUCCAAAACCACUUUGGCUGGAUAUUUACUUUGUUUGAUUGUGUGUUGUUUAAAAUAUCCCUUAAUAUGCUGAUAAACGGGGUUGCCCCAAUUCCCAGUCCAACAAGCAAAAGAAUGUCAUACUUUUUGUAAUCUUGAGCAGGUGCACCAUAAGGCCCAUCGAUGAAGAUCUUUGGAAAUCUUGCAUGACAAAUGUAAUUCAUCUUCAGAGUUUGGUUACUUCGGAAAAUCUUGUAGAGAUAACUGCCUCACAAGCCUGUUUCAAAGUGUCAUGUUAUUCUUGAAAUGUGGAUAUAGAUUUUGAGGAAAAGCGAGAACACAUCAAUCUUCUAAUCAAACCUUUCCAAAACAAUUUCUGAGAGCAGUUGUCCAGUCUCCCAAGGAGCGGAUGUGAACACUCAAGUAGUCAUCUCCUGGUGCUGACGUGAUCGAGAAGGGAUGCCUAGUAGAAUCAAAACAAAAGUUAAAUAAAAGGUCACAGUUUCUCUGUGAAUAUGAGAUCAGACGUACCAUUCGAAUGGUGAUAUAUCUGGACACUUGAUGAACAGGAAAUUGCCGUAUUCCCAAAUAGAACUGAUUUUGCAAGUAAAAGCAACACAUGCAUGAAGAAUUAAACAAAGAGCCAGUUACCAAUGCAAGGUCCAAAAUUCUCCUUCUGAAGCCUGCCGCCCACUGCAGAUUU